rnacentral:rRNA from 1 species
AUGGGUGCGCACUGGACGCAUCGGGCGCGUCGGGACCGCGGGUGCGCGUACGAGCGUGAGGUUGACGUUGGGAGGAGGCGUAUGUCACUGUUGUGCUCGAGUCCGUGCUCGAGUUCGGCUACAUCCUUCCGGCGUUUGUCGCUGGCGGCUGCCAUGGCGGACGCGGAGGCGACGCGCGUGAGCGUCUGGUGCGGUCGGGCACGUCGGGCGCGUCAGGUGCGCGCGGGACGUGCGGGACGCUCUGGUGCAGUCAGGCUCGCCGGGCGCGACGGGUGCGCGCGGGACGUGCGGGACGCACUGGGGCGGUCGGGCGCGUUGGGUGCGCGGGGGACAUGCGGGGCGCCAAGGGACGUCAGGCGUGUGUUGCUGGCGGAGGAGCUCGGCGUAUGUCGCCGGGGUCGUGACGGAGCACGGUGCGACCGGCGUCGGUGCGCCAGGUCGGGUCCGCGGGCUGGGUCACGGUCAUGA